CAUGUAUCAGCACCCAGCAAUGCCAGCUGAAUGAGGAUUCAGGAGCUGGGGGAGGACUGUUGAUAGCCUCAGCUCCCUUUACUUCUGCAGAAGGAGAUAACGAUAGUCUUUCAAGAGGCUUUGGGACAAAUCAGCUGUGUUUCUAAGAAAAGAAGUGUGAAUAAACAACAUAGGACGAGGAAGAAAGGAGAAGAUUCAUAGAAGCUCCUCUUUAGAAAAUGUGAAGGAAUUUCUGAAGAUCACAUUCUGUUCCUGUUUAUUAUAUGGUUAAGCUGUCUCUGACUGAGAGGGUAUCCUGUUCAUCCUGUGGAGGAGAACAAAUGUCAUGCCUGGGUAUGGAGGAUGGGCUAUUGCCUUCUGUCCACAGCAGAGCUCCUGCUCGUCUCAAAGGGAGCUUCACAGAAUAAGCAAAGGCAAAGCCUCAUCUUUUGCUGCAGAACGUAAUGCACUGUUUAUUAUUCUUUCACUCUGCUAGUACUGGAUUCAGCAGAACUCAGUAGGAGUGAUUUCUCUUCCCUUCCUUCCCAUCUUCCUUUCUCUGUUUCUGCUCUACUUCCUUCUUGGCAUCUCUCCUUUGUUCAUCCUCCUCCUUCCAGCAAUUCCAAACCCAGCCUCAACUGCAUCUUGGCUUCAUUUCCAUUCCUCUCCAUCUGCUAAAAUGUAUUCAUGUAUUAUGUAUCAAAUGUUGACAUUUAUAAUGGUGUCAAUAAGGUUUUGAGUCAAAGCCUGAAUGCAAACAAGCAGUUUGGGCAGCGUUUACCUCUCUCAUCAGUAUUGCUUCAGACUAUUUUCAGAACUCAAGAAAGGAAACACUGCACAGUUGGGUCCUACUAGGAAGAUUUCCUGAACAACCAUGAUGGAAAGGGGCAUUUUUUGUUAUUUAAUGGAAGUUUAAAUGCCAAAGAGUAUGGUGAUUCUAUGUGGUUAACUCACGAAGAAAGUGGACCCAGUGUUUCAAGAAUCCUAUAUCAAAGUAAACAAUCACAACUGCAGUAAAGUGAAUCUUUUGAAACAUCCACAUAAACACAUAUGCAUGAUUUGGAGUGGGGUUGUGGAUCCUUAUCUGAUCAUACAGUGAGACAGUUAAGGGAGAGA